rnacentral:tRNA from 1 species
GGUAAAAUGGCCGAGAUAGGCGAUAAAUUGUAAAUUUAUUAACGAAGAGCUAACUUCUUUUACCA